rnacentral:lncRNA from 1 species
GGGAUAGACGAUGAGGCCACGUUUCUCUUCUAUAGACAUGACUUUAAAUUUUUGUAUCCAAAUUAAUUGUCGUGACUCCCUGUUGGCACUGGUGUUGCGAGUUGUCACCUGUGUCUGUGCCGCUGGGAAGCUCCUGUGACCGCAAACCGUGGGCAGUGUUGGCAACAGGACGUCCUGCCACCAGCGUGUUCACUGGGAUUCACCCUGUUACCCCCAGAAUACUCCAUGCCCGGCCUGGGAAUGUUUCUCUUCACGCCCAAGCCAGCUGUUAAAUUCAGGAAAGUGGCUUUCUUGUUUUCUCCUAACGACCCCUUGCCUGUGCGUUCAGGUCAUUACCAAGUGCCGGGCCUCCUCUCUAGGGCUCAGGAUCGAUCGUCUGAGGCCUCCUUCCUGCGGCAGCGCCCCCGACCCCACAACAUAGCCCCGUGCUCCUGUCCUUUGGCUUGGUAUGUAUGCUUUCCCUGGGUAAAUGGCCCUUCUGACAAUUCAAGUGACUGUUGCGUUUACUAUAACCUUGAAAACAAAAAUUGUAAGAAAAAGAUUCCAAUGAUUGUGCUGUGGAUUUUAUUACCAAGAUGUUUACACCUCCCUUUUCCCUGUCAUUUUGAGAAACUGUCGACUCUUCUCCCUUAAUGGCUUGUAGUCUUUCCUGUGUCAUAAUAAAGCUUCAUUUUCUUCUGAACACUGGCCGGCUCUCCUCUUACUACUGACAGCAGCUGAGAGGGCGCAGCGGAGGGGAGGGGGCGCUGCACGGCCGCCAGGGCUGGAGCUGCCAGGGCAGGGCUCGGCGCCACAGCAGCCCUGCUGAGCUCAGCGGCCGGAGCUCGUACCUGGUUUGGGCCAGUCCAGUGCCGGCCCUGGGUGUCGGGACGUCCGCGCAUCCUGCAUUCUCCUCCUCUUCCCUGCUCUUGGCAUCCGGGAGUCAGGACAACCAUGCAUUCUCAGUGUGUCACCGUCACAGUCCCCGGAGGAGCUUUUUAAAUGCAGGAAUUGUUGCCAGCGUCUGAUGACGAGACCCAGGGUGCGGUAUGACAAUACGCAUUUGUAGUAAGCUCCCCAAACGAGGAAAUAUGAACCCGUAAGGAGAAAAUGUGCAAUUAGUCCUGCCCUUGAUCCUGUAAUUGGUCACACCGCUGUACUUGGCGUUUGUGACAUCCUCCCGCCUCCCUCCACACUUCCUUGUCCUCAGAACCUCCCUUGACUGGUUUUUACCUGGUUGACCCAAAGCUUCAUUGCCGAGCUGUCCCAUUUUUAGAAGCUUUUGUUGCAAGUUCCUUUACUUACCUUACAUGGAAGCACCAAGAGACGCCAGCGACCUCUGGGUCCCAGGCUUAGUCCUCUGUCCCCACGGAGUAGCAAUCAGCUCAGGUCACCCAGAACCAGUGUUGUGUCCCUCAGGGGAAGACCAUCAAGCCAACAAAGCCCAGAUUUUCCAGGCCUGGAAUAAAAAGAUUCUGUGAUUGGGUUGUUAAGUAUAAUACUGGGAGGUGCCAACCCCACCCCCACAGCUGGCUCCUCAGACCCAUACAUCCUGCCUAGGGGAGGGGGGAGUCUGCACCAGAUAAUGGUUUCUGGCUAAAGGCAUACAAGUCAUCCUGGAAGACAGAACCACAUCACCAUAGCUGAGUCCUCAGUAUGCCCAGCUGCGUCCCGGGGGGGGGGGGGGGUGAUGCAGUGUGAACAGUGCCUCGGACACAAGCCUGUUGCUCAUGAACGUCCGUUGCCGUGAUUUGGGUUCUGUGAUCAACAGCUAUUUGCGGAAUGUGACCAUGGAUGGUGGUGGUGAUGGGCGGGGCAGGCGUGUCCGUCAUCGGAAUAUGAGUUUAUUCCAAGAAGACCAAUCUUCCAUGAUGCAAGAGGCCCAGCGUAGUCAACCUGCCGCCGGGAUGGCCGGCCGGUCCUCUUAGGAAACUCGCCAGCCGAGGGACUCGGGUGUUAGUGUUCGUAGUUCGCUGGUUAGGCACUCAGCGGUAGUUAGGUUGCUGAGCCUUGGGCAGGGCAGAUCUAAGACAUUGAACCUACUUCAGCCCCCACCCUGUCUUGAUGGCCCCUUGGUUCAUGGGUCUACCAAGCAAGCAUGGUGCCUGGGGAAGGAAGCUGACUGUAUCCACAGGCAUGCCGUUUUGUCUCCCUGAUCAUAAGAGCGUCCCCUGUAGGGGUUCUCCAGCAGGCACACAUGGAUACAGGUCUCUUCACAGUCUGUGCCCAUUUUGAGACAUCUGUCCCCAUCCAGACCUCGUCACUAAUCCUGGAAUCCUCUUCCAGAUGUUUGACCGUCCAAGCAAGCUGUUAGCUCAGCACAGAUCAACGUCGCCCCGUCCUGUCGGCCCUGUCUCGUUCCAGACAAGUGGGUAACCAGACAUACAGUUCAAAGCUCCACUCAGGGUUUUCCUCCAACACUGUCCGUAGGUGACCUCAGUCAUCUGGCCACAAAAAAGCACUCGAUGCCAUGCAGCAGGUGUCCGUUGAAAGUCCAAGCCACCUGUUCGUGCAGUUCACCUGCUCAGGCCUGUGCUCACUCUUCCACAUGCUGUUUCUGCUGCAUGAUCCGUGCCUGCCGCCCAGCCUUAAGGCCAAGCGGGUCAGACCAUUCGUUUUGCUGUGGGAUGCCCGGACUGCAUGGGCAGCUCAUGACCUGUGAGUACACGUUCAGCAUGCGAAGUCUGAGAGACAAGCAGGAGCUGUUUCUAGAAAGAGUACGUAUCUGUGGAAGACAUAGAUUGGAGUUGCUCCGAAAUCGUGGAGAUCUGUGCUGUUCCUCGCCUGCUGGCCCCUGAAGCAUCCUUAUCUGCCCUGGACAGUUUGAGUAUCACUGGAUCUUCUUGAUCAUACGAUUUGAGUGUAGUACGGCGUGUAUGACAGCCUGAAAUUAGGUCCUCCUCGCAGCUGGGAGCCGUGUGAUGCCUCUGGAGGAGGGUCGGAUUGACACGCGCAGCUGUGCGUGCUACUCGCGAACCCAGCAACACCUGUCCGGCAUUGUGGCUCUUUUUACAUAGUAGAUGGUGCGACUUGCAGCCAUUUGUCCUUCACCUUGAACAGGUUAUCCUGACAGGCUUAAGACCCCUGAGCCCCCAGACACUUCAUGGAGUUAGGGGCCUGAGUUUCAGGGAGUUUUUUUCUCAUGCUUUGGCUCACUUGUCUCAUUAAAGCCUUGAUAGAAUUUACUGCUCUGUGCUUCUCAGAGCCAGUCAGCAUAAUGCCAGCAGUACAGGGACCAGAGCGAUGAGUGAUGGAACAUCAAGGCAGUCAGUGCGCACACAGACUUCCUAUAGCAGAGUUACGUAGCCCCGAGUCCGUACCGGGAAGGUAUGCUGUGGGCCCUGUCAAAUAGAAGCAAAGUGCCUUGGUGGGCCUUUCAAAUUGGUAUGGGAAUAAAAAUGCUCUAGUCAGGUCACCGGCUGCAUGCUUCAUGCCAGGAGCCAUGUUGACUUGCUCCAGUAACAGCGCUGCCUCUGACAGCAGCUGUGAUCGGACAGCCCCUGAUCAGGUUUCUAGAAGUUGGCCGUCAUUCCCGCGAUCUGCACAUGGUGUACAGCUGAACUACGAGGGCCUGUGAUACGUAAUAUCACUGCUGUGCCUUUGGGGUGUUACUCUUUGAAAUCCCCCCAGGAGGGGUGCCUGGGUGGCUCGGUUGGGCGUCUGCCUUCGGCUCAGGUCAUGAUCCUGGGGCCCUGGGAUCGAGUUCCGCAUUGGGCUCCCUGCUCAGCGGGGAGCCGGCUUCUCUCUCUCCCUCUGCCCUUCCUCCCCGCUCGUGCUCUUGUGCUCGCUCGCUCUCUCAAAUAAUAAAAUCGUAAAAGAAAGAAGAGAGAUAAGAGAGAAAAAGGAAAGAAAAGAGGGAGGAAGGAAAGGGGAGAGAGAAAAGAAAAAAGAAGGAAAGAGAAAGAAGAAAGGAAAGAAAAAGAAAAAAAAAAUUCUACAUAGUCCUUCCAACCACAUCAGCCCUCACCUAGGGGAUAAACAGUCAACGUAGGGAUCCUGCCAAGUGCCAGGUACGCCCACUAUACACUUAGGAACUGGGGAAUAACUACAGAAUGGAUCAAACAUACUUCCAUUAAAAAAAAAAAAAACCAGGGGCGCCUGGGUGGCACAGCGGUUAAGCGUCUGCCUUCGGCUCAGGGCGUGAUCCCGGCGUUACGGGAUC